rnacentral:rRNA from 1 species
CCUACGGGAGGCAGCAGUGGGGAAUAUUGGGCAAUGGAGGAAACUCUGACCCAGCAACGCCGCGUGAAUGAUGAAGGUCUUCGGAUUGUAAAGCUCUUUUCUAAGGGAAGAAGAAAGUGACGGUACCUCAGGAAUAAGUCUCGGCUAACUACGUGCCAGAAGCCGCGGUAAUACGUAGGAGGCAAGCGUUAGCCGGAAUGACUGGGCGUAAAGGUUGCGUAGGCGGAAUAUCAAGUCAGCGGUAAAAAUUCGGGGGUCAACCCCGUCGUGCCGUUGACACUGAUGUUCUUGAGUGGGCGAGAGGUAUGCGGAAUGCGUGGUGUAGCGGUGAAAUGCAGAGAUAUCACGAAGAACUCCGAUUGCGAAGGCAGCAUGCCGGCGCCCAACUGACGCUGAAGCACGAAAGCGUGGGUAUCGAACAGGAUUAGAUACCCCUGUAGUC